CUUGUCUACUUACUCCUAUCUACUGCACUUACGAAUUCUAUCCUAUCUCUAUAGUAAUGCACGUACUAUCUUACUUACUUUUACACUUGUCCUAUUAAUAAUGCACACCACCUACCUCACUUUACACUUGUCCAUACUACUUUAAUAAUGCAUACCUACCACACUUACCACUUUACACUUGUCUACUUACUCCUAUAUACUGCACUUACGAAUUCUAUCAUAUCUCUAUAGUAAUGCACGUACUAUCUUACUUACUUUUACACUUGUCCUAUUAAUAAUGCACACCACCUACCUCACUUUACACUUGUCCAUACUACUUUAAUAAUGCAUACCUACCACACUUACCACUUUACACUUGUCUACUUACUCCUAUAUACUGCACUUACGAAUUCUAUCAUAUCUCUAUAGUAAUGCACGUACUAUCUUACUUACUUUUACACUUGUCCUAUUAAUAAUGCACACCACCUACCUCACUUUACACUUGUCCAUACUACUUUAAUAAUGCAUACCUACCACACUUACCACUUUACACUUGUCUACUUACUCCUAUAUACUGCACUUACGAAUUCUAUCAUAUCUCUAUAGUAAUGCACGUACUAUCUUACUUACUUUUACACUUGUCCUAUUAAUAAUGCACACCACCUACCUCACUUUACACUUGUCCAUACUACUUUAAUAAUGCAUACCUACCACACUUACCACUUUACACUUGUCUACUUACUCCUAUAUACUGCACUUACGAAUUCUAUCAUAUCUCUAUAGUAAUGCACGUACUAUCUUACUUACUUUUACACUUGUCCUAUUAAUAAUGCACACCACCUACCUCACUUUACACUUGUCCAUACUACUUUAAUAAUACAUACCUACCACACUUACCCACUUUAGACUUGUCU
rnacentral:lncRNA from 1 species